rnacentral:lncRNA from 1 species
AUGCCUCAUGGAUCUCCAAUUUUGGAAAACUGGUCUCUCAGUCCUUAUGGAUCUCCAAUUUUGGAAAACAGGCCUCUCAGUAACAAUGCCUUAUGGAUCUCCAAUUUAGGAACAGGAGUCCAAAAAGCUGAAAAAGAAAGCAGAAAGAUAGUGAGAGAGAAGGGAAGGUGGACGGAUUACCCAUCUGUCGAUCAUCCUGUUCGGCAUCACUUGUGUCUUGGCCAAUCUUGUUGAAAUCCCUCAUCUAUCAGCAGGUGGGGCAGAAAAGCCACUUCUCAGCUUCCAAACGACCCCUCAAUGGCCUCUCGACAAACGAUUCAUGGCCCUUCGGCAAACGAUUCCUCCAUGGCUUUCACCCCACUUAUCUGCAAGCAAUCCUUUUUACUCUGGUCCUGCUGCAAUAGUUAACUUAUUUUAUUCUUUGUCAUGUUGUCUCCGUGCUAUAUCCUCCUCUUGGCUUAAAAAACAAGGUUGUUAGAUGGCAUAUGAAAAAGUCCCUCAUUGUCUCUCAAAUCCGGCAAAAAUCCAGGUUAUUUUCAAUGUCCCGUUACAAAAGGUCCUAACCAGGAGGAUUUGGUCAAAAUAGCAAAUUGUAUGUUGUUGAAUUGGUUAGCCCUUACAGCCUCCAGCCUGAUGCCACACCCCAUCACAGCCUUAGCGCUCAGCAACACCUAUAGGCCUUCCCAGGCCUCUCAAUAAACAUGUCUCAUAGAUUUCCGGUUUUAUCCCAUACAGGAGCUCAGGACCUGUAAGAGACUAGCAAAAACAAUGAGAGGGGAAAGAAGGGGAGGGGAAAUACUCAUCCUUCCGGGCUGUAUGGUUCUAGAUGCAUUUUCUCUAGACGUCUUGCCCACAUCCACAGCAGGCCUCCUCAGAGGUUGUGCCUUCGACAACACACUCAUCUGUCUUGGAAUCCUGACAAAAUCUUCUCUGCAUCUUUUUUCGCAAACGAUUUAACGGCCUCUACCACGAUUGCCUAUCGUUCACUUGCUGCAAUGCAAUCCUAUACUUCAGUCCUGCUGCAAUGUUAAACUUACUCAAUUUCCCUUUCACGCCGUCUCAUUGCUACAUUCUUUUUCUUUAGCUUUAAAAAAAUCAAAGUUUGUUAAUAACACACGUUGAAAAGCCUCCUGCUGCCUCUCAAAUCUGGCAAAAUCCAGGCUGGGGGCGAUGGAAAAAAUGCCCGUUUGCAUGAUCUAAUGUCCCGUUUACAGAAGUCCUAGUCCUCUCUUUCCGUAACCUUUUAGAAAGAGCUGGGCCAAAAUAGCAAAGUCCAGAUUAAGCAACAUGAGACGUAGCCAAUUGUAUCAUGCCUUUGGUUCUCAAAAGGAUAACUUUCUAUACUUGGGUUUAUCUACUGUAUAGAGUCACUGACUAGUUCCCUUUUUGAAUAGUAUAGUUUGUCUCCUCUAAAUGAAUAUCCGAAGGUGUUAAUGGGCUGGAUGAAGAAAAACAAAUAGAAACUGAAUCCAGACAAGACAGAGGUGCUUGCCAAUAAGGAGCGUAACCUAUGGUAG